AUUGAACGCUGGCGGCAGGCCUAACACAUGCAAGUCGAGCGGAUGAAGGGAGCUUGCUCCUGGAUUCAGCGGCGGACGGGUGAGUAAUGCCUAGGAAUCUGCCUGGUAGUGGGGGAUAACGUCCGGAAACGGGCGCUAAUACCGCAUACGUCCUGAGGGAGAAAGUGGGGGAUCUUCGGACCUCACGCUAUCAGAUGAGCCUAGGUCGGAUUAGCUAGUUGGUGGGGUAAAGGCCUACCAAGGCGACGAUCCGUAACUGGUCUGAGAGGAUGAUCAGUCACACUGGAACUGAGACACGGUCCAGACUCCUACGGGAGGCAGCAGUGGGGAAUAUUGGACGAUGGGCGAAAGCCUGAUCCAGCCAUGCCGCGUGUGUGAAGAAGGUCUUCGGAUUGUAAAGCACUUUAAGUUGGGAGGAAGAGCAGUAAGUUAAUACCUUGCUGUUUUGACGUUACCAACAGAAAAAGCACCGGCUAACUUCGUG
rnacentral:rRNA from 1 species